UAAGCAUUUGGUUAUUUAGAACAAUACAAAUUCCAUUAAGUAUGAGUAUUCAUACUUAAUGAUGAUAUGUACAACUUUCAGAACAGGUUUAAAGCAACCGGUUUUUUUUUCCUUCUCACUCUCUCCUGCAUAUCUCUCUCUAGCCAAGUUCUUGGUUUGUUGUAAAGUUGUUAAAGAUGGUGCUUUGGGUUUUUAGCUAUGGCUCACUGGUGUAGAACCCUGGAUUUGACUUUGAUGAAAGGAUUGUUGGUUAUAUCAAGGACUACAGACGGGUGUUUAAUCUUGCAUGCAUAGACCACAGAGGUACACUACAUCCAGCUAGGACCUGCACCUUGGAGGCCAAGAAAGGGGCAAUCUGUGUAAGUAGAGGUCAUGGCCAGAUGAGGUGAUUCAUUUGCCUAUAUCAAAGUUCAAUGCCUUUUUUUCUUUCUGAACUAUAUUAAUGAAAAAGAUUUUGUCAGCAUUCUGCAUUUUUGUAGUAUGAUAGUGGAUCUUCUCGCAUUUAAAUUUUUGAAUUCCAGUUGUCUAUUAGAGUAAAAACAACGUGAAAUCAAUAGAGAGCCAAAAUAAAGUGUUUGACGUAACCUCUACUGUGAAACAAGAAACCAAAGCUCUUAAAGAACUGAUUUAAUAGUGAUGACUUGUUUGAUUGAAUGCUUUGUUUAUCUUUUUGCUAGUAGCUGCUUUUAAAAAUAUUCCUUCUACAAUCCAGUCUAGCUUAAACAAUUGAUAGUACAUACUUCUUUUCUUUUGCUGGUUUCAAUUGUACAAAAAGCAAUUCCUAAAUUAGUGAAAAGUUUACAUGAACAUGUUAAUGUUUUGUUCGGAUUAAUGAUAUUCUAGGGCUAAUACUAAUAUUCCAUAUUUAACCAACAAUGGUGAUUAAAUAUGUUUUCCAUUGUAAAGACCUACAAUGGAAAUUUAGAGUACUACUGCAUGAAUCUCUUUUUGCUGGAGAUUUGAAAGAAUUUGCUUAUGUAGCUACUAUUUGUUCCUCAUCAGUAGGAACAAAUAGUAGCUACAUAAGCAAAUUCAGUAGGAGCAUUCCACUGAAUUCUUGCCUGGUGAAGUUGAUAAUAGUCUUCUUGUUAAAAUUAAAAAGAUAUGAAUUGAAGAUUUGUAGGUAAGAACAUUACUAGUCCUUUUUACAGAACCUUCUAUUUUUUUUUUUCACUUCCUCUUGUUCUCCGAUCUUUAGUUUCAUUCUGUUCAUUUUCAUUCUUAAAAGUUAAAACUGGAUGUGUUGUGGCAUUUGAUUGUGAGCUGAUUUGAUUUUGCUCACAUUUCAUUGCGUCCUAUGCUUUGCUUGCUUUUAGGGUUUCAUGUUAAAGACUAAUUAUUGCAAUUUUUCUUUGUUUUAAUCCUGCCUUUCUUACUCUUGUUUAGCAUUAGUUAAGGUUAUCUAGCAUUGUUCCUUUCCUGCACUGUUAAAAGUUGUUUGUUUGAGAGAUAUUUGGCAAUAUGGAAACAUGCGGUAUUUUGAUUUUGGUGUCUUAUAUUAAUGGAAUCUCAUAUUAUUCGGCCUAAAUUUUGAUCUUUUUGAGACAUGCAUCAAGGAUAGGCUUAUAUGUAUCAUUGAGUUUAAUUACAAUAAGGUAUGAAUUUUAUAAUUUAGCAUUUAAUAGUUUUUUAUUUGAUUUUAAUCACAAUUAUAGCUCCUUAUUUAAUAAUGUUUAUUUACUUAUGUAGGAGAAUUCAUGGCUAAAGCUUAAGAGGAUACACAAAUCUUUUUACUUUGUGUAAUUAAGCAAAAAAAUAUCUUGUAAU